rnacentral:misc_RNA from 1 species
GAUGAAGAACGCAGCGAAAUGCGAUAAGUAAUGUGAAUUGCAGAAUUCAGUGAAUCAUCGAGUCUUUGAACGCACAUUGCGCCCCCUGGUAUUCCGGGGGGCAUGCCUGUCCGAGCGUCAUUGCUGCCCUCAAGCACGGCUUGUGUGUUGGGCCCCGCCCCCCGGCUCCCGGGGGGCGGGCCCGAAAGGCAGCGGCGGCACCGCGUCCGGUCCUCGAGCGUAUGGGGCUUCGUCACCCGCUCCGUAGGCCCGGCCGGCGCCCGCCGGCGACCCCCUCAAUCUUUUCAGGUUGACCUCGGAUCAGGUAGGGAUACCCGCUGAACUUAAGCAUAUCAAUAAGCGGAGGA